AUAAGGGCGCACGGUGGAUGCCUUGGCACUAGGAGCCGACGAAGGACGUGACAAACGACGAUAUGCCUUGGGUAGCUGUAAGUAAGCGAUGAUCCAGGGAUUUCCGAAUGGGGGAACCCAACAGGUAGUACCUGUUACCCACAUCUGUUAAGGAUGUGAGGAGGAAGACGCAGUGAACUGAAACAUCUAAGUAGCUGCAGGAAGAGAAAGCAAAAGCGAUUGCCUUAGUAGCGGCGAGCGAAACGGCAGGAGGGCAAACCGAAGAGUUUACUCUUCGGGGUUGUAGGACUGCAAUGUGGACUCAAAGAUUAUAGAAGAAUGAUUUGGGAAGAUCAGCCAAAGAGAGUAAUAGCCUCGUAUUUAAAAUAGUCUUUGUACCUAGCAGUAUCCUGAGUACGGCGGGACACGUGAAAUCCCGUCGGAAUCUGGGAGGACCAUCUCCCAACCCUAAAUACUCCCUAGUGACCGAUAGUGAACCAGUACCGUGAGGGAAAGGUGAAAAGCACCCCGGGAGGGGAGUGAAAUAGAACCUGAAACCGUGUGCCUACAACAAGUUCGAGCCCGUUAAUGGGUGAGAGCGUGCCUUUUGUAGAAUGAACCGGCGAGUUACGUUAUGAUGCGAGGUUAAGUUGAAGAGACGGAGCCGUAGGGAAACCGAGUCUGAAUAGGGCGCCUUAGUAUCAUGACGUAGACCCGAAACCAUGUGACCUACCCAUGAGCAGGUUGAAGGUGCGGUAAGACGCACUGGAGGACCGAACCAGGGCACGUUGAAAAGUGCUUGGAUGACUUGUGGGUAGCGGAGAAAUUCCAAACGAACUUGGAGAUAGCUGGUUCUCUCCGAAAUAGCUUUAGGGCUAGCGUCGACAUUAGAGAUUCUUGGAGGUAGAGCACUGUUUGGGUGAGGGGUCCAUCCCGGAUUACCAAUCUCAGAUAAACUCCGAAUGCCAAUGAAUUAUGGUCGGCAGUCAGACUGCGAGUGCUAAGAUCCGUAGUCGAAAGGGAAACAGCCCAGACCACCAGCUAAGGUCCCAAAAUAAUUGUUAAGUGGAAAAGGAUGUGGGGUUGCACAGACAACUAGGAUGUUAGCUUAGAAGCAGCUAUUCAUUCAAAGAGUGCGUAAUAGCUCACUAGUCGAGUGACCCUGCGCCGAAAAUGUACCGGGGCUAAAACAAUUUACCGAAGCUGUGGAUACCUUUAUAGGUAUGGUAGGAGAGCGUUCUAUGUGUGAUGAAGGUAUACCGUGAGGAGUGCUGGAACGCAUAGAAGUGAGAAUGCCGGUAUGAGUAGCGAAAGACAGGUGAGAAUCCUGUCCACCGUAAGACUAAGGUUUCCAGGGGAAGGCUCGUCCGCCCUGGGUUAGUCGGGACCUAAGGAGAGACCGAAAGGUGUAUCCGAUGGACAACAGGUUGAUAUUCCUGUACUAGAGUAUGUAGUGAUGGAGGGACGCAGUAGGCUAACUAAAGCAGACGAUUGGAAGAGUCUGUCUAAGCAGUGAGGUGUGAAUUGAGUCAAAUGCUUAAUUCUAUAACAUUGAGCUGUGAUGGGGAGCGAAGUUUAGUAGCGAAGUUAGUGACGUCACACUGCCAAGAAAAGCUUCUAGCGUUUAAACAUACUCUACCCGUACCGCAAACCGACACAGGUAGUCGAGGCGAGUAGCCUCAGGUGAGCGAGAGAACUCUCGUUAAGGAACUCGGCAAAAUGACCCCGUAACUUCGGGAGAAGGGGUGCUGACUUAAAGUCAGCCGCAGUGAAUAGGCCCAAGCAACUGUUUAUCAAAAACACAGCUCUCUGCUAAAUCGUAAGAUGAUGUAUAGGGGGUGACGCCUGCCCGGUGCUGGAAGGUUAAGAGGAGUGCUUAGCGUAAGCGAAGGUAUGAAUUGAAGCCCCAGUAAACGGCGGCCGUAACUAUAACGGUCCUAAGGUAGCGAAAUUCCUUGUCGGGUAAGUUCCGACCCGCACGAAAGGCGUAAUGAUUUGGGCACUGUCUCAACGAGAGACUCGGUGAAAUUUUAGUACCUGUGAAGAUGCAGGUUACCNGUAUUAGCUAGUUGGUGGGGUAAGGGCUCACCAAGGCGACGAUACAUAGCCGACCUGAGAGGGUGAUCGGCCACACUGGGACUGAGACACGGCCCAGACUCCUACGGGAGGCAGCAGUAGGGAAUCUUCGGCAAUGGACGGAAGUCUGACCGAGCAACGCCGCGUGAGUGAAGAAGGUUUUCGGAUCGUAAAGCUCUGUUGUAAGAGAAGAACGAGUGUGAGAGUGGAAAGUUCACACUGUGACGGUAUCUUACCAGAAAGGGACGGCUAACUACGUGCCAGCAGCCGCGGUAAUACGUAGGUCCCGAGCGUUGUCCGGAUUUAUUGGGCGUAAAGCGAGCGCAGGCGGUUAGAUAAGUCUGAAGUUAAAGGCUGUGGCUUAACCAUAGUAGGCUUUGGAAACUGUUUAACUUGAGUGCAAGAGGGGAGAGUGGAAUUCCAUGUGUAGCGGUGAAAUGCGUAGAUAUAUGGAGGAACACCGGUGGCGAAAGCGGCUCUCUGGCUUGUAACUGACGCUGAGGCUCGAAAGCGUGGGGAGCAAACAGGAUUAGAUACCCUGGUAGUCCACGCUGUAAACGAUGAGUGCUAGGUGUUAGACCCUUUCCGGGGUUUAGUGCC
rnacentral:rRNA from 1 species